UGGGGAAUAUUGCACAAUGGGCGCAAGCCUGAUGCAGCGACGCCGCGUGGGGGAUGACGGCCUUCGGGUUGUAAACUCCUUUCGCUAGGGACGAAGCUUUUUGUGACGGUACCUAGAUAAGAAGCACCGGCUAACUACGUGCCAGCAGCCGCGGUAAUACGUAGGGUGCGAGCGUUGUCCGGAAUUACUGGGCGUAAAGGGCUCGUAGGUGGUUUGUCGCGUCGUCUGUGAAAUUCCGGGGCUUAACUCCGGGCGUGCAGGCGAUACGGGCAUAACUUGAGUACUGUAGGGGUAACUGGAAAUCCUGGUGUAGCGGUGAAAUGCGCAGAUAUCAGGAGGAACACCGAUGGCGAAGGCAGGUUACUGGGCAGUUACUGACGCUGAGGAGCGAAAGCAUGGGUAGCGAACAGG
rnacentral:rRNA from 1 species